UUUGCCGGUUGUCUGCUGGCUCUCUCCUGCCUCUCUCUGCCCAGCCGCCCACCGCCCCUCGCCGCUGCCUCACACACACACAAUGCUAGGCAAAGACAAAGGCAGUAACACACACACACACUCGAACACAGUGCUCCAGCUAAAUAAGUGCAAAAAUCACACAAAAUAUUCCAAAGCCAACCGAAUAAAAGUACAAAACAAAAAGUAAUGCGAAAGUGAACAAUCAGCCAAAAACGUUUGGGGCCCAGCCAAUGCGUCAUGCCGCAGUCGCUCAAUCCGGCAACAAGAGCUAUCGCCACAGACACGGGUAUCGCACUCGCACUCGCACUCGCACAGUUGCAGUUACAAAGUGCGAACGCCAGGCCCAGACAUCGCACCCACACCAAGCCAAAGUAUCUACAGUGCCUCACAAGGCCCUAGCGUUAGCACUAUAGGUCCGCGAUUCGGCUCAAGGGAUCGGAACUAAGUCAGAGCUGAACAAGUUUCUAGAAUUCUACUUCACAAGAAAGUUCUCAAGCCCUCGUAUUAGUGGAAUAAUACACCCAAAUAUUCGGAGGGAAGCUGGUUUUAGAUCUAGUUAAGAUGCGAAAAGUCGUGUAGUACAGAACUCCUAUCUUGUGUGGUUAUCACUUAGCUAGAAAAUAUUGAAGUUUUUUGAAAGUGUAUACGAAAUUAUAUAGAUGAAACGGUUAUAGUCUACUAAGUUCUGGUUAUAAUCUACAAAGUUCCUCAAAGAUUUAUGAAGUACAAUUUAAAUUAUUUUAAAACGAUUAGUAUUUUAAUUCAUAAUGUGACAAGAUAGUGUAGUAAAAAUUGGUUAUAAUCAUCUAAGUUCCUUAAAGUAUUGUCUAAGAAAGUAUUGUACCAAAGUAGGGAGUGAUACAUUUUUCAUAAAACAACAAAAGAAUAGAACUUAGCAUAGAGUCAAAACGGUGUUCUACGUGAACAUCAAGCUUCCGCCACUAGCCACACCUUUUCGCCCAGUGUAGAUUGGCAGACACAAGGCAGACUGAAACCGCAGUGGAAGGGGCGCCGAGCAGUUAUCAGCCGCGGACCCACAGCCAACCCCAAACCCGGGCUCGGAUUCAGAUUCAGAAACAGUAACAGACUCAAAAUCAGACUGCGGCUGAAACUGAGACGCCGCUGCCGGCGUUGUCUGGCACUCGCACACGUAUUGCCCAUAUGCGGCACUCACACACGCCCAGCUGCACACAUGGCCAACCGGAUGUUGCAGCCAUCUUUGUCAUCUUUUCAAUCUCAGCCUUGGCUAAGGUCGCUCCUGCCAUUCCCCAGUGCUGCUCCGGGCGGCCCCACCAACGGGAAAGGGACGCGAGAGGCGAGAGGCGAGGGGCGAGGGGCGAGAAAGAGCCGAGUGGCUGCCGUGAAGUCGUGAAUUUAUAACAAAACGCUAGACUCGGCGACUCUGACCGACUGGUUUGGCGUGUUGGCCCGGCUAAAAUGGAUUUUUUAUGGCUACAAUGUACGACAAGCAAACAGAGAACAGCCAGCAGCAACAACUGAAUCGAGAGCAUUAAAGCGACGCAACCCGAAACCCACAACACACAGCCAUUCUGAAUUUUGAAAUUAGAUAAAUGAGGUGGCGAGAGGUCGGCAGAGAGCGGGCAGGGAGUCUGCGAUGAGGAAGAGCGGAUGUCUUUGGGGGUCCUCCGGGCGAGAUGGAAAUCUUUGGUGCAAACGGAUGGAAAUGGAAAUCGAGGAACACAGCCCAGAGCCAGGCACUUCCGGAAUGGAUGGCUUGACUCCUGACUGCUGACUGGUCCUGGCUCCUGGACCCUUCGAGCUGAGCCAACUUGACUCCGGGAUCUUGGCGCAACUCGAGUCGGACGCUUCAGAUAAGACGGGGCUGGGAAAUAAACCGGAUUCUGGACUCUGGACUUCUGGCUGCGAAACGAGGUAAGGUAACUGGCCUGAGGCCUCAGGAUACUCCGGCUGCCCGAGCAAACAAUCAUUAAUAUCAAUUUGACUCGGUGGCUGACUCUGACUUGCUCUGUUUAUGACUGCAGCAGGGACACAAAUUAUUUAUUUAUGCGGCAGAUGCUCCUUCUUUUCCCUGCCUUUCCCCUAGCUCACCGCCCCCUUGAUUCAUGGCAAAUAAACAAUAAAUUAAAUUACCACAUUUGAUUGCCGGGCUCAGAACAAUUUUGAUAUUCCCCAUGUGCGUCCCGAGCGCCCGAAUCCCCCAUAUCACUCCUGUCAUACUUCAAAAGCGCAAAUGACUAAAUGAAUGGAUGCAUUAUGUAUGCUGCCUGCUGCUGCUUCUGCUGCGAUGAGGCAAAAUUGAUUUUUAAGUUACGACCGUACGCAUUUAUUUGGCAAUUGAAUGUGUAUAGUGGCUCGAUCUUCGUCUGCCAGUGCCAGGGAAUUGCAAUGCCAUUUUUCAAGGAGGCAGGGGUGCGGAGUGCGGAGUGUGUGCUUUAUACAUGUCCUCUGGCCAGGCCAUCGGCAGAGAUUUAUGGGCGAACGCACAAAAACGUUCAUUGAAAACACAUUUUCCAUUUUGGGGGAGCUGCCGCCCCCCCUCGAAUUGCAAAUUCAAUAAAGCAUUAUAUAACACGGCCAAGACGUACAUGCGGUGGUGCUGGUGCCCCCGAUGCAAGUGCAAUAAUUUACAACAUUUUAAUCGAAUUAGACGCUGGGAGACGGAAUAGGGUGGCUGGUGUCUGGUAGAUGGGCACUGGCCAAGAAGCAAAAUGCAUUUUAAGUGCCGCCUGGCAGAACUUUGGCACUUGGCAGCUGAAUUCGCCACCAGCAGCGGAAGCGAAAAGACAAAAAGAGUGGCACACCCCGGGCCAAGGGAAUAGCACUUGAACAUGUGCCAGCAAAUCUAAAGCCAGGGCCAUCUUGAGAGCCGGGCGAAAUGAAAAUGCAUUUAAGGUCUGCUCGGGAAGGCUGCCUUAAUUAUCGGACAGGUCUCGCCUCUGCAGGAAUAAGUCAGGAUGCGGGGCUGUCAUAUGUCAAAAAGUAUACUUACCAAAACUCUUGAACUUAGAACUUUCAAUUCUUAAUAAAGAUAUUCAUAAUAUUAUGGGCUAAGAAACGCUUUUGCCCUCAGUAACUCUCCUAUUAAAAUAUAUUUAAAAUAUUUUCAACAUCAAAGCUGCAGUUAUGAACUGACUCUUAAGAGCUCGCAAUAAAAAUCCAUAUAAUUGAUUUUUUAUUAGCCUAGCCCACAAAUCCUAAGUGCACUAACGUUUCUUAUAACUAUUUUUACAGCCCCCUUGCUUUCAAUAUUUAUGGUUUCUUCACAUGGGUUUUCCCCUCAUUUCGAUCGGUUUUGAUCUAAACAACUAGUUUUGAGAUGCAUUUUAUUUCGCUGGGAGUUCAGUCAAUGUCAGUGGUUCCCCCAUAAAAUCUUCUCGGCAACUGCUCCGCUCCCUAGCAUUUUUGCCUUUUAAUUUUAAACAUUUGACUCCAGGCCACAUGCAGGCAAUUUGAGUGCAUGGGGGUGAAGGCGGAACGAGAAUCGUCAUAAAUUCCAGGCAAUAAAUUUCUAUUUGUUUUAUUUCGUUGCCAUUCUAUUUUCGUUGCCCCGGCACAAUGGCAGUUAUUUCUCCUCGUCCUCGUCCUCUCAGCGAAGCGUGCAAAAAUAAAAAUGCUCCGGCUUUCCUUGGAUUUUCCUGGCCUUGUUCUGGCCUGAUUUCCCUGCCUGCUGCAGCCGGAGUCGCAGCUGCAAUCUGCAGCACGGCCAACACCCAAAACUCCGAAUGCCUCGCAGAAUGAUAAUGAAAUCUACCUUCUGAUAUUUCAUUUUCAAUUUUUUCCCCUGUCUCGGGGCGCUAAUAACUUUUGUCUUUCGGGCCGGGAAAAUCGAUAGAGCCAGUGGCAAAUGAUUGGUACUUGGCAGGCGGAAAAUCCGCUGAGCUCCCGGACACAUACUCGUCGCGGGCUGACAAGUAAUGAGCUCGAAGGCUGGGGGCUGUCGCAGACCUGAACUUUGCAUAGUUUAUUAAAUCCCCGGGAUUCGGCUGCCUCCAUUAGCUGGCGUGUGGCACAGUGCCUUUCGCCUGCACUCUGAUUGCAUUAACCCUCGAGGGCGAGUGCCCUGGAAAGUAUGCUACGCGAAUUACAAUUUGCGUGUUGCAUUUCCCGUUGCUGUUGCUGCUGCUGCUGCUGCCUCUGUUGCCGUUGCUGUUGCGAAUGACAUGCAAACGUUGCAUUAUGAAUGUUAUUAUAAAAUCUCGCUGGCUGUGUGUGGGCUGGGGUGUGUGUAUGCAUUUAAACGACUCUAUUUACCACAAAAUGGCUGCCAAACAACAACAUGCCAGCAAACAAUGAGCGAUAAUAAUAAUGACACAACAGCAGCAGCUAAAGUAGCAGCAGCAGCAGCAGCAACAGCAGCAGCAGCUGAAAAGGCAAACGUUUUAAUGGCCACAGCGAAAUUCACUCUAGUGGGAGUUACGAGUUACGAGUACCCAGCAUGUGUGUGUCUGCACUUUGCAGCUAUUUAAAAUUUAAAUAAUAGCAGAAUACGGCAGCAAAAAAAGCGAGAAGAACAACCGCACGGAAUAAUAAUAAAUCAUGGCAAAUAUAUAUUCUCAUACGCACAUGUACGGUGUAGCACAAUGUGUGUGGUGUGCGGACGUAUACUACGUAUAUUGUAAUAUUCCCAGCGAGCUACAUUGUUGGCAGCGCUUUGCCAUUUGGGCCAAUGUUUUGGCCUGGCGCCGCGUGUUGAUUUAAUAGUCGUGGUCACAGGCAUUAUGGCAUGCUCAUGAUUGCCCCGAAAAUACGUGAGAAGCCCACUCCUUGCGCUCCCCCGCAUAUCGCACAUUGUUCCGGUUGGGCUUUUCAUGCAAAUUUCCAUGCCAUUAUUUAUUGUGUAUUUAAAGAGAUUACGUGUAAGCAGGCCAGCACUCCCGCAUCCUAAUGGCCAGCUACGCAGACUGCAAAUUGAAAAAAAGCAAGGCCGAAGAAGGGGGGGAAAAAGUGAUGAGAGGGCAGCCAACCAAGACGUCGACAUCUGUAAUCCCCGCCUGCAAGUGUGCCAUAAAAAUUCAAAUUCAAAUUUAAACCCGCCCCGCUCAUGUGCUCCACAAAUCCCACUUAAUUGUUGGUGCUGUUUCUGGUUGCUGCUGCAAUGAAAUUUCAUGCAUUCUAAUUUAUGCGGUCCCAACAAAGGAGCACAAUUCGCUGGCCACAGUGCGCCUUCAGUGCUCAGUUUUGUUACGUUUCGUUUCGUUCUGCACUUGUGCAUAAGGACAAUGGCUCGAAUGGUAAAAAAUAUACAAAAACAAGGGGAGCCAGCCAGUAGAAAGCAGAAGAAAUGGGAAAGAAAGGCAUCCCGAAUAAAAUGCAAUGCCAAACAAAUGCAAACCGAACUCAGCUGAGGCGAAACAGUCAGGCAAGCAGCCAGCGGGCCACUUGGCGUAUACGUAAUUCGCAUUUGGGCAACAGCAAUGGCAAUGGCAACAGCAACAGCAACAUGCAACACCGAACAACAAUUGCAAUGGCUACGUGCCAAGGCAGCGGAACAAGGAUGGCAAAAGGACGACUGGGAUACCAAGAGGUAAACGGUAUUAAUGGCAGGACCUUAUUUUUGGCAGCAGUUGGCAAGCGUAACAGAAAUAGCUGCAAUGCGACUUUUUCGCUUUUUGGCUGUUGAUGUCUUUCCUGCUGUAUGUUGCACGUGCGCCCCGUCUAUGUCCAUUCCAUUCCGUAUAUAUAGUACUACUGCUACACACUGCUGCAACAUACAAAUCACUUGAAACUUUCGGCGAUUCGCGAUUCGCCAUAAGUAAUCGAAUGCUAAUGGAAAGCUGUUGCUCAUAAAUAAGCCAGCCAGCAAUUUGUCGAAGGCAGGCCAUAAAAACUACAAGGGCCAUUUAACUUAUGAGUGCUGUAGGCCCAUGCCCAUCCUCAUCUCUGCAUCAUCCCCGUCCCCAUCCCAUCAGCCAUCUUGGGAUGGAUCUUCCUUGGCCCGGGCCAAUUGCCAGCGGCGUCAGCGUCGACGGCUCUUCAGCGUCAUCAACACAUCGUAACGAAGGCUGAAGGCGGAAGACUGAAUGCUGGCGACUGGAGACUGGAGACUGGCGACUGAAUGCUGGUUUUCCAGUGAGCUGGAUGCUGGGUGCGGAACGCUGAAGGAUGGUUGAAGGAGGUGACGUAGUGUCAGCCGGAGAAAAGAAAAACGAAGAGCAACAGAGCAGUGCACGGUAAAAAAAACAUAACAAUAGGUGUUCCACAUCGGACAUAUAUAAACUGAUGACGAUAGCUCCUAAAUAUAAAUGGUGAUCGCGAAAGACAGUAAACGAGAAAAGGGAAAGCAAGAAUUGCUUGAAAAAUAUCUAAUUCUUUAAUAAAGCUGCAAACACAUCGAUAGCAAUAACAAUA